ACGGGAGGCAGCAGUGGGGAAUAUUGGGCAAUGGGCGCAAGCCUGACCCAGCAACGCCGCGUGAAGGAAGAAGGCUUUCGGGUUGUAAACUUCUUUUACCAGGGACGAAGGAUGUGACGGUACCUGGAGAAAAAGCCACGGCUAACUACGUGCCAGCAGCCGCGGUAAUACGUAGGUGGCAAGCGUUGUCCGGACUUACUGGGUGUAAAGGGCGUGUAGGCGGAGAUGCAAGUCAGGAGUGAAAUCUAUGGGCUCAACCCAUAAAUUGCUUUUGAAACUGUAUCCCUUGAGUAUCGGAGAGGCAGGCGGAAUUCCUAGUGUAGCGGUGAAAUGCGUAGAUAUUAGGAGGAACACCAGUGGCAAAGGCGGCCUGCUGGACGACAACUGACGCUGAGGCGCGAAAGCGUGGGGAGCAAACAGGAUUAGAUACCCUGGUA
rnacentral:rRNA from 1 species